rnacentral:rRNA from 11 species
GAGUUUGAUCUUGGCUCAGAUUGAACGCUGGCGGCAUGCCUUACACAUGCAAGUCGAACGGCAGCACGGGAGCUUGCUCCUGGUGGCGAGUGGCGAACGGGUGAGUAAUGCAUCGGAACGUAUCCUGGAGUGGGGGAUAACGUAGCGAAAGUUACGCUAAUACCGCAUAUUCUGUGAGCAGGAAAGCGGGGGACCUUCGGGCCUCGCGCUCUUGGAGCGGCCGAUGUCGGAUUAGCUAGUUGGUGAGGUAAAGGCUCACCAAGGCGACGAUCCGUAGCAGGUCUGAGAGGAUGAUCUGCCACACUGGAACUGAGACACGGUCCAGACUCCUACGGGAGGCAGCAGUGGGGAAUUUUGGACAAUGGGGGCAACCCUGAUCCAGCCAUGCCGCGUGAGUGAAGAAGGCCUUCGG